GAUGAACGCUGGCGGCGUGCCUAAUACAUGCAAGUCGAGCGAACGGACGAGAAGCUUGCUUCUCUGAUGUUAGCGGCGGACGGGUGAGUAACACGUGGAUAACCUACCUAUAAGACUGGGAUAACUUCGGGAAACCGGAGCUAAUACCGGAUGAUCUUUUGAACCGCAUGGUUCAAAAGUGAAAGACGGUCUUUCUGUCACUUAUAGAUGGAUCCGCGCUGCAUUAGCUAGUUGGUAAGGUAACGGCUUACCAAGGCAACGAUGCAUAGCCGACCUGAGAGGGUGAUCGGCCACACUGGAACUGAGACACGGUCCAGACUCCUACGGGAGGCAGCAGUAGGGAAUCUUCCGCAAUGGGCGAAAGCCUGACGGAGCAACGCCGCGUGAGUGAUGAAGGUCUUCGGAUCGUAAAGCUCUGUUAUUAGGGAAGAACAUAUGUGUAAGUAACUGUGCACAUCUUGACGGUACCUAAUCAGAAAGCCACGGCUAACUACGUG
rnacentral:rRNA from 1 species